rnacentral:rRNA from 1 species
GACGAACGCUGGCGGCGUGCCUAAUACAUGCAAGUAGAACGCACAGUUUAUACCGUAGCUUGCUACACCAUAGACUGUGAGUUGCGAACGGGUGAGUAACGCGUAGGUAACCUGCCUGGUAGCGGGGGAUAACUAUUGGAAACGAUAGCUAAUACCGCAUAAUAUUGAUUAUUGCAUGAUAAUUAAUUGAAAGGUGCAAUUGCACCACUACCAGAUGGACCUGCGUUGUAUUAGCUAGUAGGUGAGGUAACGGCUCACCUAGGCGACGAUACAUAGCCGACCUGAGAGGGUGAUCGGCCACACUGGGACUGAGACACGGCCCAGACUCCUACGGGAGGCAGCAGUAGGGAAUCUUCGGCAAUAGACGAAAGUCUGACCGAGCAACGCCGCGUGAGUGAAGAAGGUUGUCGGAUCGUAAAGCUCUGUUGUAAGAGAAGAACGGGUGUGAGAGUGGAAAGUUCACACUGUGACGGUAUCUUACCAGAAAGGGACGGCUAACUACGUG